rnacentral:rRNA from 1 species
UACGUAGGGUGCAAACGUUAAUCGGAAUUACUGGGCGUAAAGCGUGCGCAGGCGGUUUUGUAAGUCUGAUGUGAAAUCCCCGGGCUCAACCUGGGAAUUGCAUUGGAGACUGCAAGGCUAGAAUCUGGCAGAGGGGGGUAGAAUUCCACGUGUAGCAGUGAAAUGCGUAGAGAUGUGGAGGAACACCGAUGGCGAAGGCAGCCCCCUGGGUCAAGAUUGACGCUCAUGCACGAAAGCGUGGGGAGCAAACAGG